AUCCCAUGGUGUGGACAUCUCUAUAAAUCCUUGUACCUCUCUCAUGCUUCAUACAAGCUCUCAUCAUCUCUAGGUUUGAAAGAAGUCAGCUUAUUUCUUAGCUU